rnacentral:rRNA from 1 species
UACGUAGGUGGCAAGCGUUGUCCGGAUUUACUGGGUGUAAAGGGCGUGCAGCCGGGCUGACAAGUCAGAUGUGAAAUCCCGCGGCUCAACCGCGGAACUGCAUUUGAAACUGUCAGUCUUGAGUACCGGAGAGGUCAUCGGAAUUCCUUGUGUAGCGGUGAAAUGCGUAGAUACAAGGAAGAACACCAGUGGCGAAGGCGGAUGACUGGACGGCAACUGACGGUGAGGCGCGAAGGCGUGGGGAGCAAACAGG